GAUGAACGCUGGCGGCGUGCCUAAUACAUGCAAGUCGAGCGAACGGACGAGAAGCUUGCUUCUCUGAUGUUAGCGGCGGACGGGUGAGUAACACGUGGAUAACCUACCUAUAAGACUGGGAUAACUUCGGGAAACCGGAGCUAAUACCGGAUAAUAUUUUGAACCGCAUGGUUCAAAAGUGAAAGACGGUCUUGCUGUCACUUAUAGAUGGAUCCGCGCUGCAUUAGCUAGUUGGUAAGGUAACGGCUUACCAAGGCAACGAUGCAUAGCCGACCUGAGAGGGUGAUCGGCCACACUGGAACUGAGACACGGUCCAGACUCCUACGGGAGGCAGCAGUAGGGAAUCUUCCGCAAUGGGCGAAAGCCUGACGGAGCAACGCCGCGUGAGCGAUGAAGGUCUUCGGAUCGUAAAACUCUGUUAUUAGGGAAGAACAUAUGUGUAAGUAACUGUGCACAUCUUGACGGUACCUAAUCAGAAAGCCACGGCUAACUACGUGCCAGCAGCCGCGGUAAUACGUAGGUGGCAAGCGUUAUCCGGAAUUAUUGGGCGUAAAGCGCGCGUAGGCGGUUUUUUAAGUCUGAUGUGAAAGCCCACGGCUCAACCGUGGAGGGUCAUUGGAAACUGGAAAACUUGAGUGCAGAAGAGGAAAGUGGAAUUCCAUGUGUAGCGGUGAAAUGCGCAGAGAUAUGGAGGAACACCAGUGGCGAAGGCGACUUUCUGGUCUGUAACUGACGCUGAUGUGCGAAAGCGUGGGGAUCAAACAGGAUUAGAUACCCUGGUAGUCCACGCCGUAAACGAUGAGUGCUAAGUGUUAGGGGGUUUCCGCCCCUUAGUGCUGCAGCUAACGCAUUAAGCACUCCGCCUGGGGAGUACGACCGCAAGGUUGAAACUCAAAGGAAUUGACGGGGACCCGCACAAGCGGUGGAGCAUGUGGUUUAAUUCGAAGCAACGCGAAGAACCUUACCAAAUCUUGACAUCCUUUGACAACUCUAGAGAUAGAGCCUUCCCCUUCGGGGGGGCAAAGUGACAGGUGGUGCAUGGUUGUCGUCAGCUCGUGUCGUGAGAUGUUGGGUUAAGUCCCGCAACGAGCGCAACCCUUAAGCUUAGUUGCCAUCAUUAAGUUGGGCACUCUAAGUUGACUGCCGGUGACAAACCGGAGGAAGGUGGGGAUGACGUCAAAUCAUCAUGCCCCUUAUGAUUUGGGCUACACACGUGCUACAAUGGACAAUACAAAGGGCAGCGAAACCGCGAGGUCAAGCAAAUCCCAUAAAGUUGUUCUCAGUUCGGAUUGUAGUCUGCAACUCGACUACAUGAAGCUGGAAUCGCUAGUAAUCGUAGAUCAGCAUGCUACGGUGAAUACGUUCCCGGGUCU
rnacentral:rRNA from 1 species